AAUCACCCUUCCCAUAUUUAUCCAGCCCAAUAAGGAAUAACCUGUGUUCUUCUUCAGUCCAUGGAGUUCCCUUUUUCCUCUCAACUUCAUGUUUUUUGUUCGUCCCAAACGAGAUCUGGUUAGUCUUACAAUCCGAUUCCCAAUCAAACAAAUCAUCAGGAUAACUUGGCGGCUCUACUCUCCCUGAAUCAAUCUCAAAAACAUCAUGAACAAGUGCAUCAUAGUGAGCCAUAACAUCUUCCGGCGUCCUUCCCGGAACAUGAUUAGCAAUUUUCUGCCACCGUUCAAUAUCGUUUUCAGAGUACAUAACUAGAGCUUGUUCAAAUAACUUGUCUUCAAAUCUCGUCCAUGUUGAAUUUGGAUGAAUCAUCGCCGGUGAUUCGCCGAUUAGCCACCGAUUGUUCGCCGGAUACAUCAUCCUUCUUAUUAGGAAUUCAAUUUAAAAAUAAGUUUGAAAAAAGAAAGGGUUUUUGGUGAGGAAUUUAAA
rnacentral:misc_RNA from 1 species